CUUAAACGUCAUAUAAUUCAUCACCCAAUAUGUACUCUUUGGUGCCUGGCUUAUUUUACUUUUUUUCAAUCAAAUAUUCAUUGAAUAAUGUGAAUGAAGCAUUGGAUUAUACAAACUCUUUAUUGUGCUAUGAACUCAAGAUCCAGUGAUGAAUAGCACUAUCAAGGACCUUGUCUUCAUGGAACUUAAAAUCUAAUGGGAGAGGUUAAAAACAAAGCAGGCAAAGAAAGUAGAUAGUGACUGUCUAGAUGCUAAAAAGGAGUCAGAAUAAUUUCAUAACCUGAUUGAAAAGUAUCACAGACUGGGUGUACUUACUUUAGAACAGUGGCCCUUCAGAACACGGCAUUUUAAACUGAUACCAGAAGGAUAAAAAUGAUAGAGGCCUGAAAAGAGUCUAAAAGGGGGUUUCCAGGUAGAAGGACAAUGAGGGCAAAAGUCAGAAGCAGGAAAGAGCCUGCUUGAAAAAUGAGCUGGUGAUGACUGAAACUUACUGAGAAAGGGGAGAGGUGAGCAAAAACUAUACUAUUCAGAGAGUUCUAGGCCAAGGUACAGAGAUCAUAUUUCAUUCUCAACAAGAAAACUUUCCAGGAUUUUUUAAGAGAAUAUGAUUCAUUUUUAUGUUUAAAAAAACCCCCAAAUCUCUGACUUUGUGUAGAAAUAGAAUCCUGUCAAAUUUGGAUUCAGAAGUGCAAAUUAUAAAACAGCUUUGACAGUCAAAGUGAAGGCUGCCAAGUAUCACCCGUGGGUCAUGCCUGGCCUGCUACAAGCUUGUGUAAAUAAAGUUUUAGUAAAACACAGCCAACAUGAUUUGCAAUGCAUUUUGCCUAUGGCUACUUUCAUGCUACAAAGGCAGUAUUGAAUGAUUGUGACAGAGACUAUAUGGCCUACAGAGAAAAAAUAUUUGCUAUCUGGUCCUUAUAGAAAAAGUCUAUCAAGCCCUAGUCUGGUUGAAAUACUAUGAUGAAUGGGACUAGGAUGAUAUCAAUGGAGAAGUAGAGUUGUGAGGAGAUUCUCUAUAUAUUUUGUAGAUACAAUUUAUAAGACAUGCUG
rnacentral:lncRNA from 1 species